GCAGUCGACGGUGAAGAGGAGCUUGCUCCUUGGAUCAGUGGCGAACGGGUGAGUAACACGUGAGCAAUCUGCCCUUGACUCUGGGAUAACUGCGGGAAACUGUAGCUAAUACCGGAUAUUACCUUGGAAGGCAUCUUCUGGGGUGGAAAGAAUUUUGGUCAAGGAUGAGCUCGCGGCCUAUCAGCUAGUUGGUGAGGUAAUGGCUCACCAAGGCGACGACGGGUAGCCGGCCUGAGAGGGUGACCGGCCACACUGGGACUGAGACACGGCCCAGACUCCUACGGGAGGCAGCAGUGGGGAAUAUUGCACAAUGGGCGCAAGCCUGAUGCAGCAACGCCGCGUGAGGGACGAAGGCCUUCGGGUUGUAAACCUCUUUUAGUAGGGAAGAAGCGACUGGGUUUUCCUGGAAGUGACGGUACCUGCAGAAAAAGCACCGGCUAACUACGUGCCAGCAGCCGCGGUAAUACGUAGGGUGCAAGCGUUGUCCGGAAUUAUUGGGCGUAAAGAGCUCGUAGGCGGUUUGUCGCGUCUGCUGUGAAAACCCGAGGCUCAACCUCGGGCCUGCAGUGGGUACGGGCAGACUAGAGUGCGGUAGGGGAGAUUGGAAUUCCUGGUGUAGCGGUGGAAUGCGCAGAUAUCAGGAGGAACACCAAUGGCGAAGGCAGAUCUCUGGGCCGUAACUGACGCUGAGGAGCGAAAGCAUGGGGAGCG
rnacentral:rRNA from 1 species